rnacentral:lncRNA from 1 species
GCUGCCAGUGGACAUCAUGUUUGGAAGUACCCUGAAAAACGAAGACGUGUUGACUCAUGACGAGUAUGUUGACUCGUUCCAAAAGGACCUGCGAGAGGCUGUCAGGAUCGCUCAGGCCAACACCACUGAAGCUCAGAAAAAGCAAGCCAGGCAGUAUAACAAGAGAGUGAAGGGUACUGCCCUGGAGAUUGGGGACCGAGUUCUCUUGGCAAACCGAAAGGAAAGAGGAAAAGGUAAACUUGCCGACUUGUGGGAUUCAACGGUCUAUGUGAUCACAUGGAAAGACCCGUCUGUGCACAUCUACAGAGUCGAAGAUCCUACUACCAAGAAGAGUAAAGUAGUUCAUCGAAACUUCAUACUGCCAGUGAACUUCCUGCCGGUGGGACAGACAGACGAGAUGUCCACAGUAGCCUCUACUGCUUCAGAGGAGGACAUAAACGGAGACAGCGGUGACGAAAGACCGGUAUUCGAUGUGGAUGAGGAUUCAGAGGAUCGAAGGACUGCUGUCUGGAUUCUCGAGGGCCAGAACCCUGAGGGGCCCACGGAAGCUGAAGGUCAAAAAUCUUCGGGACCGGAAGAUGGCGUGAACAUGAGAGAAGCUGCUCCUCAAUGCCCAGCGAAGGACAUGAUCUCAGGACAAGCAGCUAAAUCAAGCACAGGAAGCUCCUCAAUGAUGCCUGGUGAUGAUUCAAGUGAUCCUUCUGAAAAUGACACAAGUAGAGAAGCAACGUCGGUGAGCAGUCUAGAUGGCAUCAGCAGUAGAAGUUCAUCAGUCAGCGGCUCUGUAUGCAUAAGAUCUACUAAGAAGAGAAUGAGUAACCAGAGAGAGGUAGAGCGCAGAAACAGCCAGACAUCUGAGCUCACUGAUACAGUCCUGAGACCAAGUGAAGGCACUUUGAGAACUCGAACUGGAAGAGUUGUGAAGCCUGUCAGAAGACUUUUAGAGUCAAUGAGUCAAGUGAUUGCUGAGCCGGACAAAAGAGAGCAUCUAGCCGCCCUGAUUCAAGCCUUAUCAACUUUUGUUGAAGUGACAGUACCCCAGUGACACAGAAGCCAGAAGAUAGAUUAAGGAAAUGAGAAAUACUUUAUUAGGGGGUCAUAGGUUGUAUGUAUAUGGGCAUAUUUCUACCUGGCAAAGUCUCUUUGCUGUCCUUCUGGACGACUCUUGGUCAAGGUUACCCCUGUGGAGGAAGAAGUCUUACCUUAUGUCUUGAAGUUUGCUGAAAUCAAGAAGGGAACAACUUGUCAGGUGGUGCAUUGGAGACUGAUGUGUUCCUGUCCUGUCUUUUCAUAAUACUAUUGCAGAUCGACAUAAAAGCCUAAAAGACAGCCGUGGUGUUGCUCUUCAUUUCUUGGUUCUCCUGUGGUGCAUAAGAAACCCGCUACAUAUGUAAGUGAACCAUAAAACCACAUUUCCACAGUGGAUAUGCCUGUAGGUAAAAGUGACGCAGCAUUACGUCAUACUUCCAGUGUCAGUCCUCUAUAAUAUUUUGAAUGGGCUUGGCAGUGAUGUAAUCAAAUUUGUGAAAACGUGGUCUAUGCAUCACACCAAUAGGGUUAACCCACCAAUUUUAACGCCACUCAAAUAAUGUAGCGAGGAUCGCGACACUGGUCGGAAUUGUAAUGUACCUCAUAGAGCGAGUAUCGCUACAAUUGUCACGGAUUGCCCGGUACUGCUGCUCAUUCGUUUCACCAGCUCCAGAGGUCUACGUCACCGGCUUUCUAGGCAUCACUGAACUGGAUCAUUACCACCAACCCGAGACUGUCUUGUCUCAUUAUGCACCCCUGGUUCCCAUUCCCCCUGAUUACUAUGUGCAUGUAAGUGCCCUCUGUUCCCCAUUGUCCUGGUUGAUUAUUGUUCCACGUCCGUUGGUCUUGUGAGUACCUGUGCUCUGUUGUAUCGGCUUGCGUGUUACCAUGUUAGUGUGCACUUGUUAUUAUGGGUCUCAUCCCGUGUAUUGUUAUUACGGGUCUCGUCCCGUGUAUUGUUAUUACGGGUCUCGUCCCGUGUAUUGUUAUUACGGGUCUCGUCCCGUGUAUUGUUAUUACGGGUCUCGUCCCGUGUAUUGUUAUUACGGGUCUCAUCCCGUGUAUUGUUAUUACGGGUCUCGUCCCGUGUAUUGUUACUACGGGUCUCGUCCCGUGUAUUGUUAUUACGGGUCUCGUCCCUUGAAUUUAUUAGAGGUUUACACCUGGCGCUUUGCUUGGGUUACCUGUGUUAAAUAUAUACAGUUGAAGUCGGAAGUUAACAUACACUUAGGUUGGAGUCAUUAAAACUUGUUUUUCAACCACUCCACAAAUUUCUUGUUAACAAACUAUAGUUUUGGCAAGUCGGUUAGGACAUCUACUUUGUGCAUGACACAAGUCAUUUUUCCAACAAUUGUUUACAGACAAAUUAUUUCACUUAUAAUUCACUGUAUCACAAAUCCAGUGGGUCAGAAGUUUACAUUCACUAAGUUGACUGUGCCUUUAAACAGCUUGGAAAAUUCCAGAAAAUUAUGUCAUGGUUCUAGAAGUUUCUGAUAGGGUAAUUGACAUCAUUUGAGUCAAUUGGAGGUGUACCUGUGGAUGUAUUUCAAGGCCUACCUUCCAACUCACUGCCUCUUUGCUUGACAUCAUGGGAAAAUCAAAAGAAAUCAGCAGAGACUUCAGAAAAAAGAUUGUAG